rnacentral:ncRNA from 1 species
CUUAUCAAGAGUGGUGGAGGGACAGGCCCUGUGAAGCCCGGCAACCUGGCAGUGCGUCGCUGUUGUACUGCAAAGGUGCCAAAUCCUGCGGUUAUCCGAAAGAUG